GUAGACAGUCGAAGGUUCCUGAGGGUGACGGGUCAAGGGUGAAAGUGGACGUGAUGGUCGCUUGGCUUCCGGUCUGAACCCCUGGUCACUUGAUGGUGAGGUGAUGACAGCGAAAAAGGACACUGAACUGUUGUGCACAUGCGAAAGAACAAUUGACGAUGAAAAAAAAAAU
rnacentral:lncRNA from 1 species